CGCGUAGGCGGUUUGUUAAGUCAGAUGUGAAAGCCCCGGGCUCAACCUGGGAACUGCAUUUGAUACUGUCAAGCUAGAGUAUGGUAGAGGGAAGUGGAAUUCCGGGUGUAGCGGUGAAAUGCGUAGAUAUCCGGAAGAACACCAGUGGCGAAGGCGGCUCCCUGGACCAAUACUGACGCUGAGGUGCGAAAGCGUGGGGAGCAAACA
rnacentral:rRNA from 1 species